GAUCAUGGCUCAGGACGAAUGCUGGCGGCGUGCUUAACACAUGCAAGUCGAGCGAUGAAGCUUCUUCGGAAGUGGAUUAGCGGCGGACGGGUGAGUAACACGUGGGUAACCUGCCUCAUAGAGGGGAAUAGCCUUCCGAAAGGAAGAUUAAUACCGCAUAAGAUUGUAAUAUUGCAUGAUAUAGCAAUUAAAGGAGUAAUCCGCUAUGAGAUGGACCCGCGUCGCAUUAGCUAGUUGGUGAGGUAACGGCUCACCAAGGCGACGAUGCGUAGCCGACCUGAGAGGGUGAUCGGCCACAUUGGGACUGAGACACGGCCCAGACUCCUACGGGAGGCAGCAGUGGGGAAUAUUGCACAAUGGGGGAAACCCUGAUGCAGCCAACGCCGCGUGAGUGAUGACGGUCUUCGGAUUGUAAAGCUCUGUCUUCAGGGACGAUAAUGACGGUACCUGAGGAGGAAGCCACGGCUAACUACGUGCCAGCAGCGGC
rnacentral:rRNA from 1 species